rnacentral:rRNA from 1 species
CUUGCCUUCUGUCAAAGAUCUGGCGGUUCAAAGUUCUGGCAGUCAGUUGUCCAACUACUCUCGGUCCUGCGCAUUGGGACUUCCAUCUCAGUUGGAUCUGGGACUGCGACUCUGUUCUGGUUUGACUGUUGGGCUGGCGACGCCCCCUUCGCGGCACGCUUCCUCGACCUCUUCUCCCUUGCUGUCGACCCAUCCAUUUCACUAGAAAGGGCCCUUAUUGACUUAGGGCGCCUCGCUUUCCAGAGGCCGUUCGGUCCCCCGGAGACCGCCGCCUGGCGUGAGUUACUUGAUUGCGUUGCUCUCCAUGAGCUGGUUGUGGAUGCGGGCCCGGACCAGCUUAAGUGGCGUCUUGAGUCGUCAGGCCAAUUCUCCACCAAGUCCCUCUACCAGGCCAUUGCCCCUUCCACCGCCUCCCCCCUCACGGCGAUUUGGUCCAUCCGCCUGCCCCUGAAGAUCCGGAUCUUCAUGUGGCAAUGGAUCCAUGGACGGACCCCGCCAGGGGUGGAGGUCCGCAAGCGAAAUGGCCCUAGGACUGGCCUUUUCUCGCUUUGCGAUGUCCCCGAAGACUCGAUGUCCCCUGGAACUGCUUUAGAGAGGUGGUUAGUGGCAACUGGUGCUACACCAACUUCCCCGACCUAUUCGCCGAACUCCAGGCCACCUCGUUGCCUUCUCGCCACAUUAGGUGGCUUGAGAUUGGCGCGCUUGCGUGGACCCUCUCGACGAUCCGUAAUAGACUUGUGA